rnacentral:rRNA from 1 species
GACGAACCGUGCGAACGUUGUUCGGAAUCACUGGGCUUAAAGGGCGCGUAGGCGGGCUGCCAAGUCCGUGGUGAAAUCCCCCGGCUCAACCGGGGAAGGGCCUCGGAUACUGGCGGCCUCGAGGGGGGUAGGGGCGUGCGGAACUGUGGGUGGAGCGGUGAAAUGCGUUGAUAUCCACAGGAACUCCGGUGGCGAAGGCGGCACGCUGGACCCCAUCUGACGCUGAGGCGCGAAAGCCAGGGGAGCGAACGGG